UGCUUCCAGGGAAAUCCCAUUUGAGAGC
rnacentral:piRNA from 1 species